GAUGAACGCUGGCGGCGUGCCUAAUACAUGCAAGUCGAGCGAACGGACGAGGAGCUUGCUUCUCUGAUGUUAGCGGCGGACGGGUGAGUAACACGUGGAUAACCUACCUAUAAGACUGGGAUAACUUCGGGAAACCGGAGCUAAUACCGGAUGAUAUUUUGAACCGCAUGGUUCAAAAGUGAAAGACGGUCCUGCUGUCACUUAUAGAUGGAUCCGCGCUGCAUUAGCUAGUUGGUAAGGUAACGGCUUACCAAGGCAACGAUGCAUAGCCGACCUGAGAGGGUGAUCGGCCACACUGGAACUGAGACACGGUCCAGACUCCUACGGGAGGCAGCAGUAGGGAAUCUUCCGCAAUGGGCGAAAGCCUGACGGAGCAACGCCGCGUGAGUGAUGAAGGUCUUCGGAUCGUAAAACUCUGUUAUUAGGGAAGAACAUAUGUGUAAGUAACUGUGCACAUCUUGACGGUACCUAAUCAGAAAGCCACGGCUAACUACGUG
rnacentral:rRNA from 1 species